rnacentral:rRNA from 1 species
CCUACGGGAUGCACCAGUAGGGAAUCUUCCACAAUGGGCGCAAGCCUGAUGGAGCAACGCCGCGUGUGUGAUGAAGGCUUUCGGGUCGUAAAGCACUGUUGUAUGGGAAGAACGGGUUUAAGAGGAAAUGCUUAAACAGUGACGGUACCAUACCAGAAAGGGACGGCUAAAUACGUGCCAGCAGCCGCGGUAAUACGUAUGUCCCGAGCGUUAUCCGGAUUUAUUGGGCGUAAAGCGAGCGCAGACGGUUGCUUAAGUCUGAAGUGAAAGCCCACAGCUCAACUGUGGAAUGGCUUUGGAAACUGGGCAACUUGAGUGCAGUAGAGGUAAGUGGACCUCCAUGUGUAGCGGUGGAAUGCGUAGAUAUAUGGAAGACCACCAGUGGCGAAGGCGGCUUACUGGACUGCAACUGACGUUGCGGCUCGAAAGUGUGGGUAGCAAACAGGAUUAGAUACCCUCGUC